GUAACACGUGGACAACCUGCCCUUAGGUUGGGUAUAAACCCGGGAAACUGGGUAUAAUCCCCUAUAAGUCUCGGCUGCUGGAAUGCACCGAGAUUAAAAGCUCCGGCGCCUAAGGAUGGGUCUGCGGCCUAUCAGGUAGUAGUGGGUGUAGCGUACCUACUAGCCUACGACGGGUACGGGUUGUGAGAGCAAGAGCCCGGAGAUGGAUUCUGAGACACGAAUCCAGGCCCUACGGGGUGCAGCAGGCGCGAAAACUUUACAAUGCUGGCAACAGCGAUAAGGGAACCUCGAGUGCCAGGUUACAAAUCUGGCUGUCGAGAUGCCUAAAAGCAUUUCAUAGCAAGGGCCGGGCA
rnacentral:rRNA from 1 species